UUUUACAGCCAUACCACCUUGAAUACGCCCGAUCUCGGAAGCUAAGCAGGGUUGGGCUCGGUUAGUAUUUGGAUGGAAGACCACCUGAGAAUACAGAGUGCUGUAAGCU
rnacentral:rRNA from 1 species